UCCUCAAUAGUCUAGUGGUUAUGAUCCGUGUCUCUCACACACGUGGCCGGGGUUCGAUUCCCCGUUGGGGAA
rnacentral:tRNA from 1 species